CGGCCGCGUCGACCGUGUGAUCCAGAGAAGGGACGGGACUAACGCCGAUAUGCUUUGGGGAGCUGUAAGUAAGCUGUGAUCCAGAGAUUUCCGAAUGGGGAAACCCAGCACCUUUGAUAGGGUGUUACUGCUUACUUACAGCUCCCCGAUGAGGACGGGUACUAACGCCGAUAUGCUUUAGGGGAGACUGUAAGUAAGCUGUGAUACCAGAGAAUUUCCGAAUGGGGAAACCCAGACACCGUUUGAGUAGGGUAGUUAACUCGACUGUAACGUGAAUACUAUAGGGUUCACGGUAGAGGUAGACGACAGAGUAACUGAAAACUGUACGUAAGUACUGACGAGGAACGAGAAAGAAAACUUCGAAUUCCCGUAGACGUACGCGGACCGAGACGUAAACGGGAAAACGACCCAAACCGAAGAAACGUCUUAGUACGUUUCGUGGGGUUAGUACGGUACUACGUAACCACGUAAGUACGACGUACUAAUUAAACGUUACGAACGGUAGUAAACGACGUAACGUACGAACCGUACGGAAACGGUUCCCGAACCGUAAAACGGUAACGGGUAAAACCGUCCCCGGUAAACGUACCGGUAAACCCCGUUACACCGUACGUGAACUACGAGUACUCCGUAGUAACGGUUACGGACGGUAACUACGGUAAGUUAAACGUUCCGUACGGUAACGUCCGGGACGGAACUUCCG
rnacentral:misc_RNA from 1 species